AUGGCGCUGGCGGCGGCGGCGCCGAGGGCGGUGCGCGUGGGGGCGGGGGCCGCGCCCAAGGUGGCGUUCCUGUUCCUGGCCAAGUGGGACCUGCCGAUGGCGCCGCUGUGGGAGCGCUUCUUCGAGGGCCACCGCGGGCUCUACUCCGUCUACGUCCACACCGACCCGGCCUUCAACGCCUCCGCCGCCGCCCCGGACAGCGGCUCCGCCUUCCACCGCCGACACAUCCCCAGCAAGGAGGUAAAAUGGGGCCACAUAAGCAUGGUGGAAGCCGAACGGCGUCUCCUGGCGCACGCACUGUUGGACCACUCCAACGCCCGCUUCAUCCUCCUGUCGGAGUCGCACGUCCCACUCUUUGACUUCCCCACCGUCUACUCCUACCUCACCAACUCCACCAAGGUGUACAUGGAGUCCUACGACGAGCCCGGCGGGACGGGCCGGGGCCGGUACAAGCGUGGCAUGGCACCCACCAUCACCCCUUGGCAGUGGCGCAAGGGCUCACAGUGGUUCGAGAUGGACCGGGCCCUUGCCAUUGACGUCGUUGCCGACAACGUCUACUUCCCGGUCUUCAAAAAGUUCUGCAAGCGCAACUGCUACGCCGACGAGCACUACCUUCCGACAUUCCUCCACAUCCGCCACCCUGAGGUGGCCGCCGGACGAACUGUGACGUGGGUUGACUGGUCCCAUGGCGGGCCCCACCCGUCAAGGUUCACGAGGAUGGAGGUCACGGUGGACUUCCUGCGGUGGCUCAGGGGCGGGACGACAUGUGAGUACAAUGGAAAGACCACCACCGUCUGCUUCCUAUUCGCGAGGAAGUUCCUGCCCAACUCGCUCACCCGCUUCUUGAGAUUCGCGCCAAAGGUGAUGGGCUUUGGCUGA
rnacentral:rRNA from 1 species